AAAAAAACAGUCUUCGUCGUCCGCGAAGUACUAGACGGGAUUUUAAUGGACAAUUAUGUCCCCAUCAACGAAUCAUAACAGAAAAAAAACCGGAUAGAUUAAUGGAAUUUCUCCCGCUGUCAUCUCACGGAAUUGAGAAUUGGGGCUGGGUUGGGAAUUGCCGUCAAAGUGAAAAAGGAUUUGAGAAUUGGGCUGCUGCGAUUUAAGGAAUUGGAAAUAUGUUUAUAAUUGAUCUGAUAUCUAUAUAUGAAAUCACCAAAAGAGAAACGAGUUACAACCUUAAAUUCUAUUAGAUUCGGAUUGUUCUUAAUUAGCCCUAAUUGUUCUUUGCGUGCCUCUGCCACGAAAUCGUUUUCUCGUUCGCUCGCUGCGCACCUCUGUCCAAAUCGUUCGCUCGAUGCGCGCCUCUGUCCAAAUCGUUCUCUGCGUUUCUGAGCAAAUCUUUAUGAGAUCCAUUCUUCUGUAAAUCAAAUCGCUGUUGGGUGACAACCAAAUCGCUCUAACCUCCUGUCAUAAUAUCCCAGGUUCAUGCCAAAUCCAUUAUGUGAAAUAGCUACUUCAUUUAAACUGAUUAAUACCUAUACUAUCCCAGGUUUUAACUGUUCUGUUAUUUUGACACUCCAUGAUGAUGUUGUGAUGUUUUGAGACAAAUUGAUGCUAUGUGCAGUAUUCUAGCAGAUAGAUUAAUGAUUUUUCUUGCUAGUUGAUGGGGGCUGAAAAUUUUAAUUCAUCGGUCAGUACUUCUAGGGAUGGAAAAAACUGUUUUUUAAUUAUAACUCUUUAUAAUUGUAAUAAAAGGUAGACAUAAUAUUUAUUUAUUUUUAAUUUAUAACAAAUAAAUAUAUACACACGUACGUUGCUAUUUACUAUGGACAUUUAAUUAUUUACUAUUUACUAUGGACAUUUAAUUAUUUACGGUAUAUAACAAGACUAAUAAUAGAAUGUCAACUCAGUAUUUGAGAAAAUCAAGGAAAUUUGGUAGCAUUUAAAAAUUUAAAAGAGUAAAAUGUCUGUAGUAAAAUAA
rnacentral:lncRNA from 1 species